rnacentral:rRNA from 1 species
CCGGAGGAGGUGGGAUGACGUCAAGUCAUCAUGGCCCUUACGAGUAGGGCUACACACGUGCUACAAUGGCAUAUACAAAGAGAAGCGAACUCGCGAGAGCAAGCGGACCUCAUAAAGUAUGUCGUAGUCCGGAUUGGAGUCUGCAACUCGACUCCAUGAAGUCGGAAUCGCUAGUAAUCGUAGAUCAGAAUGCUACGGUGAAUACGUUCCCGGGCCUU